GGAAUUUAAUUCGCUUUCGAUUCAAGGAUGAUGAUGACGGAGCAAGAAUAGAAAGCGCUUAUGUGACC
rfam:Porcine rotavirus mRNA for VP7 ( serotype-specific major capsid protein )